GUUGUUUGUAUUCCAAAUGUUUUGAACCAUGAACAAUCAACGAUAAUCAACGCCCAGGGACCUCAAAGCUCAGCUCUGUCGAUGCUUUGUUGUAGGUUGCCCUGUUUUACUGGUUCUCAGUUGGUACCCUGUUGACGUACUUUCGAAAGAAGAAAAAAGAAUCAGAUGCUUAACUGCCUAGAAUCCGCUUCGAUUAUUGCUCCUCCAAUAAAGCACAAACGGAGCUCCUCCAAUAAACCACAAACGGAGCCGUGGAGUGCUGCACCGAACACAGAGCACCCCAACCGCAC
rnacentral:lncRNA from 1 species